GUGAAGAGGGAAGAGCUCAAAUUUAGAACCUGGCAGUCAUCAGGCUGUCCGAGUUGUAAAUUAGAGAAGCGUUAUCCGCACUGGCCUGCGCAUAAGUCUCUUGGAAUAGGGCAUCAUAGAGGGUGACAAUCCCGUCUUUGGCACAGAUCACCAGAGCGUUUGUGAUGCGCUUUCAAUGAGUCGAGUUGUUUGGGAAUGCAGCUCUAAAAGGGUGGUAAAUUCCAUCUAAAGCUAAAUAUUGGCGAGAGACCGAUAGCGAACAAGUACCGUGAGGGAAAGAUGAAAAGAACUUUGAAAAGAGAGUUAAACAGUACGUGAAAUUGUUGAAAGGGAAACGCUUGAAGUCAGUCGCAUCCUUCAGAAAUCAACCUGACUGACUUAGGUCUGGUGCACUUUCUGUUUGGAUGGGUCAGCAUCAAUUUUGACCAUUGGAAAAAGGCCAAGGGAAUGUGGCAUCUCCGGAUGUGUUAUAGCCCUCGGUUCAGAUGCAGUGGUCAGGAUUGAGGACGGCAGCGCUUUGCACCUAGUGGAUGGCGCUCAGGAUGCUGGCAUAAUGGCUUUAAUCGACCCGUCUUGAAACACGGACCAAGGAGUCUAACAUACAUGCGAGUGUUUGAGUGGAAAACUCAUGCGCGCGAUGAAAGUGAAAGUUGAGAACCCUGUCGUGGGGUGCAUCGACGCCCGGA
rnacentral:rRNA from 1 species